rnacentral:rRNA from 1 species
GAUGAACGCUGGCGGCGUGCCUAAUACAUGCAAGUCGAGCGAACAGAUGAGGAGCUUGCUCCUCUGACGUUAGCGGCGGACGGGUGAGUAACACGUGCAUAACCUACCUAUAAGACUGGGAUAACUUCGGGAAACCGGAGCUAAUACCGGAUAAUAUAUUGAACCGCAUGGUUCAAUAGUGAAAGACGGUUUUGCUGUCACUUAUAGAUGGAUCCGCGCCGCAUUAGCUAGUUGGUAAGGUAACGGCUUACCAAGGCAACGAUGCGUAGCCGACCUGAGAGGGUGAUCGGCCACACUGGAACUGAGACACGGUCCAGACUCCUACGGGAGGCAGCAGUAGGGAAUCUUCCGCAAUGGGCGAAAGCCUGACGGAGCAACGCCGCGUGAGUGAUGAAGGUCUUCGGAUCGUAAAACUCUGUUAUUAGGGAAGAACAAAUGUGUAAGUAACUAUGCACGUCUUGACGGUACCUAAUCAGAAAGCCACGGCUAACUACGUG